rnacentral:lncRNA from 1 species
AUGAGAAGCGAAGUUGAUCACACCUGAAGCUGGUUGAAAUCACCACUUGCCCCCACGGAGGUGCAUCUCAUGAGGGAGUAAAAUAGAUCUGGGACGAAUGAAACAGACAAACCAAUUAACAUAUGAAUUAACUAGGUACUGGCAAAUUACAAUAUCAUAUGAAGGGAAUGAAGACGAAGCCUUAAUGCGUACGGCGGUACGGGGCUGCGGCCACAGUCUAAGCGGAAUAAAGUCUAACCUCGUCUCCGACGUUUUCUAGCUGAU